UCCUUCAGUGGUAUCAGAGCCACUUACGAAACCAUGAAUCUGAUAACUGUUUUAAUUCUAUAUUAAUAUGAUUAAAGACAGAAUGAAUCAAAGAUUAAAUUGAGAUCAAUCAAGUUACAUAUAUAUGAUAUAUGUAAUCCUGAUGCAAAAUACAUUAUAUAUGAUAUAGUGUUCUCGUUUUGUUCAUUCAAACACUCAAUGAUUGUUUUCCUUUGAGCGAUCAAUGGUAGUUUGCUUCUUGAUCCGACAUUAGUAUGGUGAAGCAAUGAC
rnacentral:lncRNA from 1 species